rnacentral:rRNA from 1 species
GGGAGGCAGCAGUGAGGAAUAUUGGACAAUGGGCGAGAGCCUGAUCCAGCCAUGCCGCGUGCAGGAAGACUGCCCUAUGGGUUGUAAACUGCUUUUAUACGGGAAGAAACACUCCUUCGUGAAGGAGCUUGACGGUACCGUACGAAUAAGGAUCGGCUAACUCCGUGCCAGCAGCCGCGGUAAUACGGAGGAUCCAAGCGUUAUCCGGAAUCAUUGGGUUUAAAGGGUCCGUAGGCGGGAUAAUAAGUCAGUGGUGAAAGUCUGCAGCUCAACUGUAGAACUGCCAUUGAAACUGUUAUCCUUGAGUAAUUAUGAAGUGGUUAGAAUAUGUAGUGUAGCGGUGAAAUGCAUAGAUAUUACAUAGAAUACCGAUUGCGAAGGCAGAUCACUAAUAAUUUACCGACGCUGAUGGACGAAAGCGUAGGUAGCGAACAGGAUUAGAUACCCUGGUAGUCUACGCCGUAAACGAUGGUUACUAGCUGUUUGGCUCGAUUGAGAGCUGAGUGGCUAAGCGAAAGUGAUAAGUAACCCACCUGGG